AGUUGUUGAUCUAAAACUUGUUGUCUAUUGUAUUCUAUUAGUUGUUAUACUGUUGAAGGCUAAUGAUAAUUUAUUUUGCAUUAUCUUAGUCAUAAUAUUUCUUACUAGGCUAGUUAAGCUCACCUUUUCUUUCAUUGUUCUCUUCAAGAAAUGAGAAUAUAGCUAGGACGAGUCGUGGAAUGGACUGAUGGUCCAGGAUAAAUGGCUUUAGUAGUCCUCACUAUUCUACGGAAUAAUGUGAUAAUAAUUGUAAUGAGGACACCAUUGAGUGUGGAUAUUGCCUAGAUGACAAUAUUCUUGUUUAAACUCUCAGCUAUGUUUUUUCGUAUUUUACAUGACUGUUGUAUAAUUAAGUUGUCU
rnacentral:lncRNA from 1 species